rnacentral:rRNA from 1 species
AUUUAACGGCCGCGGUAUAUUGACCGUGCAAAGGUAGCAUAAUCAUUAGUCUUUUAAUAGAAGACUGGUAUGAAGGGUUUGACGAGGUGUUAGCUGUCUCAAAAUUAAUUUCUUUAAUUUAACUUUUUAGUUAAAAGGCUUAAAAAUAUUGUUGGUAGACGAGAAGACCCUAUAGAGCUUUAUAUUUAUUUUUUAUUUAUUAUUUUGUUUAUUUUAUUAUUUAUUCUUUAAUUAUUCUGUUGGGGUGACAUUAAAAAUUGCUUAACUUUUAAUUAUUUUUUCAUUUAUUUAUGUUUAUUCGAUCCAUUAUUAUUGAUUGUUAGAUUAAGUUACCUUAGGGAUAACAGCGUAAUCCUUUUUGGGAGUUCACAUCUGCAAAUGGGCUUGCGACCUCGAUGUUGGAUUAAGAUUAUACUUGGGUGUAGCUGCUUAAGGUAUAGGUCUGUUCGACCUUUAAAUUCUUACAUGAUCUGAGU